rnacentral:rRNA from 1 species
UACGUAGGGUGCGAGCGUUAAUCGGAAUUACUGGGCGUAAAGCGUGCGCAGGCGGUUUUGUAAGCCGGAUGUGAAAUCCCCGGGCUUAACCUGGGAAUUGCGAUGGAGACUGCAAGGCUAGAAUCUGGCAGAGGGGGGUAGAAUUCCACGUGUAGCAGUGAAAUGCGUAGAGAUGUGGAGGAACACCGAUGGCGAAGGCAGCCCCCUGGGUCAAGAUUGACGCUCAUGCACGAAAGCGUGGGGAGCAAACAGG